rnacentral:rRNA from 1 species
AGAGUUUGAUCAUGCUCAGGACGAACGCUGGCGGCGUGGAUUAGGCAUGCAAGUCGAACGGUAUAAACCUUUCGGGGUUUAGAGAGUGGCGAACGGGUGAGUAACACGUAGGUAAUCUACCCUCAAAACGGGGACAACCCAGGGAAACUUGGGCUAAUACCGGAUGCGUGCAAGCAAUGUUUUGGCUGUUAAUGCUAUUCACGGAAGUGAGUAGUGUUAAUGGUUGAGAGCAUUAUUUGCAUAAAAGGUGGCAUAUGCUGCCGUUUGAGGAUGAGCCUGCGUCCUAUUAGUUAGUUGGUGAGGUAAUGGCUUACCAAGGCGAUGAUAGGUAGGCGGCCUUAACGGGUGGUCGCCCACACUGGGAUUGAGAGACGGCCCAGACUCCUACGGGAGGCAGCAGUCGAGAAUAGUCUACAAUGGACGGAAGUCUGAUAGUGCGACGCCGCGUGAACGAAGAAUCCCUUCGGGGUGUAAAGUUCUUUUAUACGUGAGCAGUGCCCUUUAUAUGAAUAGUAUAGAGGGAGGGAUUUAAGCGUAUGAAUAAGCAACGGCUAACUCCGUGCCAGCAGCCGCGGUAACACGGGGGUUGCAAGCGUUGUCCGGAAUUACUAGGCGUAAAGUGCAGGUAGGCGGAUAGAUAAGUUUAAGGUUAAAGGCUACGGCUUACCCGUAGUAAGGCGUUAGAUACUGUUUAUCUGGAAUGCGGUUGAGGGAGACAGAAUUCCUGGUGUAGCGGUGGAAUGCGCAGAGAUCAGGAGGAAUACCGAAGGCGAAGGCAGUCUUCUAAGCCGAUAUUGACGCUAAACUGCGAAGGUGUGGGGAUCAAACAGGAUUAGAUACCCUGGUAGUCCACACAGUAAACGAUAAUCACUAGGUGUUGGGUUCGUAUAGGACUCGGUGCCGGAGCUAACGCGAUAAGUGAUUCGCCUGGGGAGUACGAUCGCAAGGUUGAAACUCAAAUGAAUUGACGG